CGGGCCCGCACAGCAGCGGAGCGUGUGGUUUAAUUCGAUGCUACACGAAGAACCUUACCAGGGUUUGACAUACAAGUGGUAGAGAAGCGAAAGUGGAUCGACCCUUUCGGGGAGCUUGUACAGGUGCUGCAUGGCUGUCGUCAGCUCGUGUCGUGAGAUGUUGGGUUAAGUCCCGCAACGAGCGCAACCCUUGCCAUCAGUUGCUACGAAAGGGCACUCUGAUGGGACUGCCGGUGACAAACCGGAGGAAGGUGGGGAUGACGUCAAGUCCUCAUGGCCCUUAUAGGUGGGGCUACACACGUCAUACAAUGGCCGGUACAAAGGGCAGCCAACCCGCGAGGGGGAGCCAAUCCCAUAAAGCCGGUCGUAGUCCGGAUCGCAGUCUGCAACUCGACUGCGUGAAGUCGGAAUCGCUAGUAAUCGUGGAUCAGCAUGUCACGGUGAAUACGUUCCCGGGUCUU
rnacentral:rRNA from 1 species